AGAAUUUUCUUGGAUUUGAUUAAGUUGAGAAACUUGAUCACUUUUAUCUGUUCUAAUUAUUAAAUUUUGAUUUGGAAUGGCAUUAUGCUUUAAUCGUCUACGAUGCAAACUAAAAAUGUACGAGUUUUCAUUAAAAUGAAAAUAAUGUCCAGGAGCUCUAGCAGGAGAUGAGCAAUGUGGAAUUAUACAUUUCCAUCUCACUUUAUUGGCCAUUUUAUUCUAAAGUUAAAUUGUUCAAUAAAAUAAAAUUAAUAUUAUAAUGCAAAUGUUUUAUAUUCAAGGAAAAGAUUAAA